ACCUGGGUGGCUCAGUCGGUUGGGUGUCUGACUUCGGCUCAGGUCAUGAUCUCACGGUUUGUGAGUUCGAGCCCCGCCUCAGGCU
rnacentral:tRNA from 1 species